CCUACGGGGUGCAGCAGUGGGGGAUAUUGCACAAUGGGGGAAACCCUGAUGCAGCGACGCCGCGUGGGUGAAGAAGUAUUUCGGUAUGUAAAGCCCUAUCAGCAGGGAAGAAAGAAGACGGUACCUGACUAAGAAGCCCCGGCUAACUACGUGCCAGCAGCCGCGGUAAUACGUAGGGGGCGAGCGUUAUCCGGAUUCACUGGGUGUAAAGGGAGCGUAGACGGCCGUGCAAGCCAGGAGUGAAAGCCCGGGGCCCAACCCCGGGACUGCUCUUGGAACUGUGCGGCUGGAGUGCGGGAGGGGCAGGCGGAAUUCCUGGUGUAGCGGUGAAAUGCGUAGAUAUCAGGAGGAACACCGGCGGCGAAGGCGGCCUGCUGGACCGCGACUGACGUUGAGGCUCGAAAGCGUGGGGAGCGAACAGGAUUAGAUACCCUGGUAGUC
rnacentral:rRNA from 1 species